rnacentral:rRNA from 1 species
GACGAACGCUGGCGGCGUGCCUAAUACAUGCAAGUAGAACGCACAGUUUAUACCGUAGCUUGCUACACCAUAGACUGUGAGUUGCGAACGGGUGAGUAACGCGUAGGUAACCUGCCUGGUAGCGGGGGAUAACUAUUGGAAACGAUAGCUAAUACCGCAUAAUAUUAAUUAUUGCAUGAUAAUUGAUUGAAAGAUGCAACUGCAUCACUACCAGAUGGACCUGCGUUGUAUUAGCUAGUAGGUGAGGUAACGGCUCACCUAGGCGACGAUACAUAGCCGACCUGAGAGGGUGGUCGGCCACACUGGGACUGAGACACGGCCCAGACUCCUACGGGAGGCAGCAGUAGGGAAUCUUCGGCAAUGGACGAAAGUCUGACCGAGCAACGCCGCGUGAGUGAAGAAGGUUUUCGGAUCGUAAAGCUCUGUUGUAAGAGAAGAACGGGUGUGAGAGUGGAAAGUUCACACUGUGACGGUAUCUUACCAGAAAGGGACGGCUAACUACGUG